CCGGAUCUCAGAUCAAGGCAAGA
rnacentral:rRNA from 1 species